GACGAACGCUGGCGGCGUGCUUAACACAUGCAAGUCGAACGGAAAGGCCCUGCUUUUGUGGGGUGCUCGAGUGGCGAACGGGUGAGUAACACGUGAGUAACCUGCCCUUGACUUUGGGAUAACUUCAGGAAACUGGGGCUAAUACCGGAUAGGAGCUCCUGCUGCAUGGUGGGGGUUGGAAAGUUUCGGCGGUUGGGGAUGGAUGCGCGGCUUAUCAGCUGGUUGGUGGGGGAGUGGCUUACCAAGCCUUUGACGGGUGGCCGGCCUGAGAGGGUGAACGGCGACAAUGGGACUGAGAGACGGACCAGACGCGUACGGGAGGCAGCAGUGGGGAAUAUUGCACAAUGGGCGGAAGCGUGAUGCAGCAACGCCGCGUGCGGGAUGACGGCCUUCGGGUUGUAAACCGCUUUCGCCUGUGACGAAGCGUGAGUGACGGUAAUGGGUAAAGAAGCACCGGCUAACUACGUG
rnacentral:rRNA from 1 species